rnacentral:rRNA from 1 species
AUGGUUUUCCCUCCGUUUUCUUGUUAUGAGGUGAUUUCCGUGGAAGAGCAUUCCAGUUGCUUGUCAGUCGCACAGUUGCAAUCUAGGCGUCCACCGGAUCGGGCACCACCUGAUGCUAAAGCAUCGAAUGAAUUGGAAUUUCUCAAUGUGGAUAUCUCUGCAAGUUCAAGUGUUGAUGCAUGGUUCAGUCUACUGAGAAAAUGCAUAAGGAAACUCACAGUUUGCUGCGUUAUCUUCUGUGUGCAAUCCUCUUUGGAUUUCAUGCUCAAGAUGUACAGCCUAGGUUUGGGUUCAGUCCAAAAAAUGCUAAACUGA